UGAAACUGAAACAGCUGUUUGGUUAUAAAAAGGGUAAAGUUCAUUUCUAAUGCUACAACUCGGUGUCAACACUCUUCCCCCUUGUUUCCCAUCGCAACAAUUAGGCAAAUCAGCAAUAGCUCCUCUCAAACACGUAUUACAAUCCGAGGUUGUCAGGUCGGGUGUACACUGUAAAAGACUAUACAAUGUUUGAAACCCUGAAACAUUAGCUUCACUGGUCGCAAACUUCUUCAACGGCAACGUAUCAUUCAAAGCCAAGGCGGCUCCGUCGUUCAUCGUGGUGGCCAAUAUCUGGUUGAACCGUUCUUGGUUCGAUACAUUCAAAACUUCGGUACCAUCGCCGGAGUUGAAAAGAUUGAUUGGUUGGAGUAAUGAAUAAGGCAAUUAUCGUACCAAAUGACGGCGGUUUUCUCGACGGGGCAACGUUGAAUGACGUCUUUAGUAGCUGUUGAAACACAAUCUUGACACCCUUUGGUUGAAACAUCGCCUCUGCAAAGAAAUAAACCGUAGACGAUGUCGGAGUUGUGUUUUCCGGUGGUUGUGUUGUGGAAAAAACUACCGGCGGUGGCGUUGGAAGUAAGGGAAAUGAGCAAGUGGUCGAGAUUGGUUUUGUAAGUGCUGUUUGGUGAGAAAAUGGUGGUGUUUGGACAGUAAUGAAGGAGAUAAGUUUGUUGUUGAGCUUCAAUGGUGAAGCUAAACAAGGACAGUAACAAGAAGAAGAAGAAGAAGAACAGAGACAUGUUUCUUUAAGCUAAGGCGGUAAGUGAAGGCUGUUUUAUCGGUGUCGGAAUGAACCUGAAAAAAGCAAGUGGUCGUAUAAGUCAAGAUGAGUUAUUAUAGCCAAGUUUACUUAAAAUUCGAUGGAAAACUAUUUCUUAUAUAUUAAAUUGAUAUUUUUUAAAAUAUUUAUUUAUAUACAUGGUUAAAAAUUAGCAUAAUUGAUAGAAUAUCCAGAUAAUGAUACGUGGUAUGUCAUGUAUAUCUCAAGGUUAAAAAAUUUAUUUACUUUUACUAUUAAAAACUGGUCAUUGUAUAUUAGCAUGAGGUAAUGUCAUUGUCUGGUUAUUUCCACUAGUCACGUUAGCUUUUAACAAUAAAAAUAUAUGCAAUUUCUAAUAAAAGGAUCAAUUUGUUUUUUUAUCUAACAUAUAGGGGCUCAUUUGUUCAUUUUUUGUGUAAAGGGAAAAAAUGCAAUAUGAAUCAUAAUAUAGGGUUUCCAUAGUACUUUUACCAAAUAAGUGAAGGCUCUUUGGGUGUUGGUCCCGUUUGAGGACUUAUUAUUGGGUUAAAUUCUGCUAUUAAUCUCUAUUCUUUAUAAAAAUUAUGAUUUAAUCCCUAUACCUUAAUUUGAUAUUUUUAGUCUUGUACUUUUUUAAAUUUUAAAAUUUCAAUCAUCAUUAAAUAAUAAUUGUUAAAUUUAUUAAAGUUAUGUUAUUCUCAGAAUCUGAUACGGUAAACAUAUUAUCAUAUGUGUAAUAUCAUGUUAGCUUAUUAUUUCUACAUAAAUGGAUUAACGGCUGCUAUUUGUGUCAAAAUUGAAAUUUUAAAAUUUUGAGAAGUAUAAGUACUUAGAAUGAUUUAGUAGGAGAAUAUGGGCUAAAUUUAUAACUGUUCAUAUAGUACAAGAUUAAUAAUUGAAGUUAUCCAAACGAAUUUACCGAUUUAAAAAAUAUAAAAACUAAAUCUAUAAUUUUCACAAAAUAUAAGGACUAAUAACAUAAUUUAAACUGAACUAGAAAAAGCAAGUCGUCGUAGUCAACAAAAGUUAUAAAGGCAUUUAAUUUUUAAUUGAUGAAUGGGUGAUGGCAGUUGGUAAGGAGAUAAUGAUCAAAGUACUCUGUUCACAUUCAUGGUGCCUUAAAAGAUGCAGCCCUACACACUGACGUUUCAGUUGAGAAUCGAUCGGAAGUACUAGUUUGGAGAAAGAUUUUAGAUUGAUUGAGUCGUGAAUUGGUAUAAAUUAAUUAAAUUGAAUUAAAAAAAUUGAUUAAAUCGGUUUUCUAUAUAAUUUUUUUUUCAAAUUAUGAACUAUUUAUGUAAUUGAAUUAUUUGGACAAGUCGGAUAGGUAAAUUGAUAAUCUGACCGGUUCGACUGUCAGUUUGGUUCUGAAAAUUUUGGUUUAUACUAUGUAUCGAUGGAAAAAAAUCUAUAAUGUAAGAUUUUUUUAUAGGAUUAAUAUAUCAUUUGGUACCCAAGUUUAGUUUCAAUGUUCAAUUUGUUAUUUGAGUUUUUUUUUUUUUUUGUCUUCCUAUAUACACUAAGUUUCUUUAAUAUUACACUUUCCAAUAUCUACCAAUAAUUUGACAUUACAAUUAAAAAAAAGGUCCACUACACCACUAGUUGUACCAUUUUCUAAUAAUAAAAUCAUCAUAAUUUUUUGAAAAUUUUAAUACGAGAAAAAUGAUCUAUUUGUUGAUAAGUAUUAGGUCAAUUGACAUCAUUGUUAUUAUAACAAUUUAAACUCGAGGGAUAAAUGUCAGGUUUUCACAUGACAAACUAUUCGUAAAGAGAUUUUAUAAGCCCUUUAUUGACUAAGAUAAUAUUUAGUUAAAAAUAACGAUGAGAUUUUACAUGCUUAGAUAAGAUGGAUUUAAUGUUAAAAUUCGAAUUUUAAAUUAUAUCGGGAUUUGAUCAAAUAUCGUGUUUUUCUAUCAUUAUAGGAUAAGCUCGAUGAUAGACUAAAUAAAAGUUGUGAAGAGAUUAUUUAAUAAAUUUAGACAAGGUGACGAAGUUAAUGGCAACUAACUCAAGCCUCGACCAUUUUCUAUUUGGUACUAAUAUUUUCUUUAUUUUCAUUUCAGUCCUUGAGAAUUCAGUCACAACCAAAUUGUAAUUGUUUUUGUUCAUAUUACUUCAUGAAUUCAUAGAUGCGAACAAACAUUCACGAAUAGAUUGGGACGCAAGGUACAAAAUCAUAACAUGAAUAGCUCGAGGCAUACUUUACCUUCACGAAGAUUCUCGAUAUUUAAUUAUUCAUCGAAAUCUAAAGGCUUCGAAUAUUCUGUUAGAUGAAGAAAUGCAUCCGAAAAUUUUCGAUUUCGGAAUGACAUGGUUGUUCGAAGCCAACCAGAAUACGUAUAUAUACACAUAUAUAUGUUGAAAACUUGGAUACAUAACCGAAUGAUAAUUCAAGUAUCGAAAUUAAAUAAAAAAAAGUUUAUAUAUAUCGAAAGAGAAAAUGGGUAUAAUUUUAAAACAAAUAUAUUAUUAUAUUUAGACCAAAAAUUGGCAGAUAAAUAGAUUAUAUCUACCUUAAGAUUGCAUCAAAUAACACAGCAUCAUCGAGGAUCUAACUCAGUAAUCGAUACUUCAUUGAUCGACCAUGGCGUUGAUCGACUGGUCGAUUGAUCGGAUUCAAGCCCCACGUUUGGCAUCUUUCCCUCGGUUCUCGAGUUACGAAAAAAUGCAGGUUCGUUAGGUACUGGAAGUGUUACAGAGUAACUGUUGAGCAUCAUAGCAAUGGUAGCCAUUGUUGGCCUUUCAGCUGGAUCUUCUUGAACACAUAGUAACCCGAUUUGAAUGCAUCGAAUGACUUCGUUUCUCGAGUAAUUAUCUUUCAAGACAGUGUCCAACAAUUCCAAUGGUGUCCCAUUCUUCCAUUGUUUCCAAGCCUGCAAAUCGUUCAUCGAGUAAUUAUAAAUAGAUAAUCGAAAUAACAAAGGCGAAAAACGAAUAUACUCACGUAGCUAAUUAGGUCAUCGGCGGCAUCCGUUCGGUAGAAAUUACUGUUCCUUUUGCCAUUUACAAUCUCCAAAACCAAAACACCGAAACUAAAAACAUCCGAUUUCACGGAAAAUUGUCCAUGCAUUGCGUAUUCUGGUGACAUGUAGCCACUGCAGAUCAAUCAAUGUUAGUACGAUGCCAACAACUGUACAGAUAUCAUGGACGCUCUUGUACUAGGUGUAAAAAAAUAUCAAAGAGUAAACUGGUCUCUUCUAUUAAAAUUUCAUUCAUUUCUACGGUUAAAAGCUGACAUAAUUGAUAGAAUAACCAAAUAAUGAUUUGUUGUGUGUCGUGUAACUCAUGUCAACGUAUAGGGACCAAUUUUUAACAAAACGACUAAUUUACUCUUUGAUCUAAUGUAUAAUGAUUAACUUAAACUAAAUUUUAACAAAAUGCAAUUGAACUCCUAUUAUAAAGACCUCCAUGAUAUUUUUUUCUAGUUAACAACUUUCAAAGAAAUCCUAUAUAACAUGUUACGUUUACUUACUAGGUACCAACUACUCUUUUUGUAGUUCCUUGAGUUUGAUCCACACCAAAAAUCCUCGCCAUCCCGAAAUCUGAAAUUUUCGGGUUCAUGUCACUGUCUAGUAAUAUAUUGCUCACUUUAAGAUCACGGUGUAUGAUUUUAAGUCGAGAAUCUUCGUGUAGAUAAAGCAUUCCUCGAGCAACUCCUACUAUGAUCUUGUAUCGUGUAGACCAAUCCAAUUGUGCUUGUUUCUCAGGAUCUAAAUGAAGAAAAAUAAGCAUUCUUGUUCACACUCUGGGUAAUCUAUGAAAUCAAAUUCAAAAUCCCAAAUUUUUCUUACCAAAAAGAAAGCAAUCCAAGCUCUUGUUAGGGACAAAUUCAUAAAUUAGUAUCUUUUCUUCUCUUUCCAAGCAAAAUCCCAAUAGUCGCACUAGAUUUCUAUGUUGAAGCUUGGCAACUAAUACAGCUUCAUUUUUAAAUUCUUCAAUACCUUGCCCUGAACUUCUUGAUAGCCUUUUAACAGCUAUUUCUUGUCCACUAGGAAGGGUGCCCUGAGAAAAUGUACAAUAAUAACUCAUUGCGAGGCAGAAUUCAAUAGUUUCAGAUUUGAAUUUCAACAUUUGCAAUGCUUUCCGAACAAAAAAGAUGUAAUGAUAAACGGUUUUUAAUAAGAAUGCUGACUAGAACAUUAAAUUUUUAACGAUGAUGGCAUGACAAUCUCUGCAUGAUAAUGUAUGUAUAUUUCAUGCCGAUACGGCACCAUUAAAAAGAAUAUAUUAGAUAGUUCAAGAAAGUUUCAAAAAAUAGCAUGAAAUACACGUGGAUUUUCAUAUAAGCUUAGCUGUAUUUCCAUUAAAAAAACAAAAACAAAAACUAAAUUGACAAAAGAUAUAAACGUUAAGAUAUACCUUGUAUACUUCGCCGAAACCACCUUCACCUAGCUUGUUGCUAUAUGAGAAGUUGUUUGUGGCAACUUCUAUAGUGCUAAAAUCAUAUUGCAAGGUCUCAAUUGCGGAUAUAUCAUCUUUUGCUGUUCAACCCAAUACAAAAAAGGAAGUCAUAUUUCCAAUGAAAAAUCAUCAAAUAAGAGGGUUUAUUUGAAAAAAAAUUUUAAAUCAGGAGAUUAUUUAAUAAAAUUCAAACCCUAAAUAAUGCAUUAACCUUUAUAUAAACACAAAAAUUAUAGGGUCAUAACACCCUCAAAACAAAGAUUUCUAAUGCUCAAAAAAAGAAUCUAUCUUACCAUUUUCUUCUUCUACAGCUUUGUACUUCUUCCUUGCUCUCCUUUUUAGUAAACAACAACACAAGAACAAGAGAAGAACAGAGACAGCAAUUGGAGCAAUAAUUGCAAUAAUUAUUGGCAAUGUGUUCUUGCUUUUUCCUGCACAGCCAACAUUUACUUUUGAGUACGUUAAGAUGUGACAAAAGUUUAUAAAAGUAUUAGAGCUUUGUAUUAAAAGUCGGAUUGUAUUUGGUUCUUUUUAACUUAAAAAAUUAGAGGAUUAUUUUUUUCUCUGUAGAUCAAAGAGUAAAUUGAUUAUUUCUAUUAAACAUUUUAUUAAAUUUUACUAAUUUUAAGAGUAAAAAUAGGUGAAAUUGUUGAAAAAAGGAUAAUUUUCUCUUUAAUUUUGGAAUGCAAUCGAGCUUCCAUGAGUAAAUUUAUGGUAAAAUUUCACUUUAAUUUGCCAAAAAUGAAAAAAAAACCAAACCAGAAAGUAUGACUGAACCUGGAGUUAUUGCAGGAGGAGGAGUUAAUGGAGGUGGUGGAGCUGAAACUGAAACAGCUGUUUGGUUAUAAAAAGGGUAAAGUUCAUAUCUAAUGCUACAACUCGGUGUCAACACUCUUCCCCCUUGUUUCCCAUCGCAACAAUUAGGCAAAUCAGCAAUAGCUCCUCUCAAACACGUAUUACAAUCCGAGGUUGUCAGGUCGGGUGUACACUGUAAAAGACUAUACAAUGUUUGAAACCUUGAAACAUUAGCUUCACUGGUCGCAAACUUCUUCAACGGCAACGUAUCAUUCAAAGCCAAGGCGGCUCCGUCGUUCAUCGUGGUGGCCAAUAUCUGGUUGAACCGUUC
rnacentral:lncRNA from 1 species